GUGAGGAAUUUUGCGCAAUGGCCGCAAGGCUGACGCAGCAACGCCGCGUGGGUGAUGAAGGCCUUCGGGUCGUAAAGCCCUGUCAGGUGGGAAGAAAGGCCUGGAGAGGAAAGGUUUCAGGUUUGACGGUACCACCAGAGGAAGCACCGGCUAACUCCGUGCCAGCAGCCGCGGUAAUACGGAGGGUGCGAGCGUUAUUCGGAAUUACUGGGCGUAAAGCGCGUGUAGGCGGGGGGAGAAGUCUGAUGUGAAAGACCUGGGCUUAACCUGGGAAGCGCAUUGGAAACUGUUUUUCUUGAGUACUGGAGAGGAAGGGGGAAUUCCCGGUGUAGAGGUGAAAUUCGUAGAGAUCGGGAGGAAUACCAGUGGCGUAGGCGCCCUUCUGGACGGUAACUGACGCUGAGACGCGAAAGCGUGGGGAGCAAACAGGAUUAGAAACCCCGGGUAGUCC
rnacentral:rRNA from 1 species